rnacentral:rRNA from 1 species
GAGUUUGAUUAUGGCUCAGACUGUNCGCGUGGCGGCAGGCCUAACACAUGCAAGUCGAGCGGUNACAGGACUAGCUUGCUAGUUGCUGACGAGCGGCGGACGGGUGCGUAACACGUAGGAAUCUGCCCGGUAGUGGGGGAUAGCCCGGAGAAAUCCGGAUUAAUACCGCAUACGCCUUACGAGGGAAAGGAGGGGACUCUUCGGAGCCUUUCGCUAUCGGAUGAGCCUGCGUCGGAUUAGCUAGUUGGUGGGGUAAAGGCCUACCAAGGCGACGAUCCGUAGCUGGUCUGAGAGGAUGAUCAGCCACACUGGGGCUGAGACACGGCCCAGACUCCUACGGGAGGCAGCAGUGGGGAAUAUUGCACUAUGGGGGAAACCCUGAUGCAGCCAUGCCGCGUGUGUGAAGAAGGCUCUAGGGUUGUAAAGCACUUUCAGCGAGGAGGAAAGGUUGCUGGUUAAUACCCAGCGGCUGUGACGUUACUCGCAGAAGAAGCACCGGCUAACUCCGUGCCAGCAGCCGCGGUAAUACGGAGGGUGCGAGCGUUAAUCGGAAUUACUGGGCGUAAAGCGUGCGUAGGCGGCCAUGUAAGUUGGAUGUGAAAGCCCCGGGCUCAACCUGGGAACUGCAUCCAAAACUGGGUGGCUAGAGUACGGGAGAGGAGUGUGGAAUUUCCUGUGUAGCGGUGAAAUGCGUAGAUAUAGGAAGGAACACCAGUGGCGAAGGCGACACUCUGGCCUGAUACUGACGCUGANGUACGAAAGCGUGGGGAGCAAACAGGAUUAGAUACCCUGGUAGUCCACGCCGUAAACGAUGUCUACUAGUUGUCGGAAGUCUUGUACUUUGGGUAACGCAGCUAACGCGAUAAGUAGACCGCCUGGGGAGUACGGCCGCAAGGUUAAAACUCAAAUGAAUUGACGGGGGCCCGCACAACCGGUGGANCAUGUGGUUUA